AGGGAAGGACUCGGCUAGGGCUUGCAAGUGUUAGGAGAGGGAAAAAAAACAUCAGAGGAGAUCACAGUACGUGGAUAUAAUCAAUCCUUCUACUAGAAUAUUUUAGUAUGAACUAUGAAGUGUUGUUAUUGAAAAUGAAAUGAAAAUGACGCAAGGAUAAGACUUAUUUUUUUGUUUAUGUGUUAUAUCUCCAUUGGGUGAUUAUAGGCCUGAUUUCGUACAACAGAGUUGUUGUUCGAUUGUUUGUUUUUUGGUUCAAGGGAAGUUAAGGUUUUAAUUCUUGAAAAUUUAAUGGCAUUUCGAGUUUUCUUGUCGAUUCUUGAGUUUUUCCUGUCUGUUUUCUGUUCUUGAUGCUCUUGUAUUUCUCGUUGGAUAAUGAAAGAAAAUUAGGUUUAUUUUUAAAAUAAUAUUCCUAGCUUUCUUAUCAAUUAUUUAGUUUUUCUGUUUUCUCGAUGCUCCUGUAUAUUCUUGCUGGAUAACAAAAGAAAUUAAGGUCAUUCCUUCAUUUCCUUGAUGAUUUAAAUAAAAUUUUAGACCUUCUUUCCAUUCUUGAGUUUGUUGGUUAAUUUGGUUUCCGGUUUUAUGUUCUUUAAUUUAUUUUUGCUGGACAGCAAAAAUCCUUAUGAACAAGGGACUAUAAUAGUGGACUGGGCUCCACAAGGUUCCAAGUUCAGGAUUCGCGUUGACCUAGAGCUAGAAGAUCGUGCUUAAAAUGGGACACCCACAUGGUCGAUUUUAACCAAUAAAAUCAAAAGAUGGGUAUGAAUAUUUGGGUUGGUUGUCUGAGGUUAAGUCUCAACUCUAUAGACCUAACGUCCAUCCCAAGGUGGUUGUCAAGUAAAUUUUGAAGGUUUGCAUUUUGUUUUCAUGGUUUGAGUUAAACGAAUGAGAGAUAAAUUAAACUCAAACCCAAUUGCUUUAAGGGUUUGAUUUUUUUACCAAUACGAACCGUUUCAUUACUCGAGGAUUUAAAUGACAUUUCGGGUUUUAUUUCAAUUUUUGAGUUUUCUUUGGAUCUAAUAAUGAAAGGUGUAAAAAGAAAAUCAAUGAAACCUAAAGAACCAUAACCCUAAAUUUGGAUGAAUUUAGGAGUGGACGAUGAAAGGGGCGGGUCGAGUUAGUCCUCGGAAUGGCACUCGACCUGAACCAUUCCCAUCCACCACCGGGGGAUUUAGGGGUGAAUGGCGAAAGGGGGAGAUCGAGCAAGUCCCCGGGGUAACACUCAAUCCAACAUUCUCUCUAUUCAUUGAAGAUCCACCAAGGUUACGGACCAAGAUUUGGAUUAAGCGGAUCACUCAAUCUGACCUCUCACUCAUUCCCAAAUCAUACGAAAUCACGGAUCCUUAGAGAUUUGACGAUACAUGAAAUGAAUGGAACUUAACAAGCCUGACAAGGCUACAUGACCCGACGGGGUUUGACGGCAUGGUGAGAGUUUACUCGAUGACCCAUGUAAAGGAAAAAGGGAGGAUUCGUAAGAACCUCUAUUGGUAACCAAGGAUGGUUGAUAGUACUUGAUACUGUCCAAAAGAAAUUCAGGAACUAUAAAAUAUAUUCAUGUACUAAGUUUUUGAAACUUACUCAUGUAAAUGUCAUUUUAUUGCAGAAUAAGGAACGACUUAGAAUGGACUGGACAGAGGAUUUCACACAUGAAUGGGAUCCUAGGACAUUAGUUAAAUAAGGGGUCUAUUGGUUUCCGCUAGUACUUUAAUUUUUGUUGUGUACGCCCAUUCGGGCAUAUGGAUCUUGAUUUGUUUGUUAAGUUAAAUUUGGG
rnacentral:lncRNA from 1 species